UACGAACUGUGCGAACGUUAUUCGGAAUCACUGGGCUUACAGGGUGCGUAGGCGGCGAUGCAAGUCAGGUGUGAAAGCCCACGGCUCAACCGUGGAACAGCGCUUGAAACUGCAUUGCUGGAGUGAGCUAGAGGUAUGCGGAACUUCCGGUGGAGCGGUGAAAUGUGUUGAUAUCGGAAGGAACACCAGAGGCGAAAGCGGCAUACUGGAGCUUGUCUGACGCUGAGGCAAGAAAGCCAGGGGAGCAAACGGG
rnacentral:rRNA from 1 species